AUCAGCUAGUUGGUAGGGUAACGGCCUACCAAGGCAGAGACGGGUAGGGGGCGUGAGAGCGCGGACCCCCACACUGGCACUGAGAUACGGGCCAGACUCCUACGGGAGGCAGCAGUAAGGGAUAUUGCGCAAUGGACGAAAGUCAGACGCAGCGACGCCGCGUGGGCGAUGAAGGCCUUCGGGUUGUAAAGCCCUUUUAUGGGGGAAGAGAAAAAGGACGGUACCCCAGGAAUAAGUCCCGGCUAACUACGUGCCAGCAGCCGCGGUAAAACGUAGGGGACAAGCGUUAUCCGGAUUCACUGGGCGUAAAGAGCGUUGAGGCGGUUCCGUAAGUUGGGCGUGAAAGCUCCGGGCUUAACUCGGAGAUGUCGUUCAAUACUGCGGGGCUUGAGGACAGCAGAGGAAGGUGGAAUUCCCGGUGUAGUGGUGAAAUGCGUAGAUAUCGGGAGGAACACCCGUGGCGAAGGCGGCCUUCUGGGCUGUUCCUGACGCUGAAGGCGAAAGCUAGGGGAGCGAACGGGAUUAGAUACCCCGGUAGUCCUAGCUGUAAACGAUGGAUGCUGGGUGUGGGGGGUGUAAAUUCCCUCUGUGCCGAAGCAAACGCGUUAAGCAUCCCGCCUGGGGACUACGGCCGCAAGGCUAAAACUCAAACGAAUUGACGGGGGCCCGCACAAGCAGCGGAGCGUGUGGUUUAAUUCGAUGCUACACGAAGAACCUUACCUGGGUUUGACAUGCACGUGGUAGGGAACCGAAAGGGGACCGACCUUCGGGAGCGUGCACAGGUGCUGCAUGGCUGUCGUCAGCUCGUGCCGUGAGGUGUCGGGUUAAGUCCCGUAACGAGCGCAACCCUUGCCCUUAGUUACAAGUGUCUAAGGGGACUGCCCGGGACAACUGGGAGGAAGGUGGGGAUGACGUCAAGUCAGCAUGGCCUUUAUAUCCAGGGCUACACACACGCUACAAUGGCCGGUACAAUAGGUUGCGAAGUCGUGAGGCGGAGCCAAU
rnacentral:rRNA from 1 species